ensembl:lncRNA
AUGAGUUUCUCAAAAAUUACUUGGCUUUUAACUUUUAUUUAUGUUACAUUCCCUUUUAGUUUUCGCCAUACACCAUUUCUGGUGAAGUGUUUGCUGGUGAAUUCUGGUGGUGAAGUGAUCGUGCUCCUCCCUCAAACCAUCCUCAGACAUUACAGCAGAGCAAAACUGGAGAAUAUUACACCCAGUUUGAGUCACUUAAGUUCUCUGCUGACUUUCUGUGACUCUGUCUUGAACUGUGCAUCAGCAAGAUGGAGGACAAACUGUGCUGAAAUUGCACAGAGUGCAGCUGUUUUUGCCAAAACAGACAGUGUAACAAUCAAUUGUAGCCAUGGUGACUCUAGCUUAAUAAAUAUGUAUUGGUAUCAGCAAAAGAGAGACAGUACAGCUAUGGCUCUGAUCGGCUACACUACCGGUGUGAGUAAUCCAGCAAACAAAGAAGAUGGAUUUAGUGGGCGAUUCACACUGAACAGACAGAGCAUCCAGAAAGGAGAUCUGACCAUAUCUGAGCUCCUCCAGUCUGAUUCUGCUGUUUAUUACUGUGCAGCCAGUAAACACAGUGCUGCACAUUCAUAUGAUUGUCAUACUAAAACCCCAAAUACCAAACUCACAGGUGCACAAAGCAAUUCUGGUUCAUCUGAUGAGGUUUCAUACUAAAGUUUUUUCCUAUGGAGGAAGUCUGUUCUCUUUCCCAAUGAACAAGAUGUAGGGCUUCUGGUUGACUUUCAGCAUUGGAACGCACCUCAGAGUGUUACAGCCAAUAGUGAACGUACAUGUAGAGCAUGUGCUCUCUGACUUCCCUUUCAGAUUCUUUCAAACUUCAACAGUUUUUUGUUUUUUUUUUGCCUGGGUUUAUGGGUUGUUUGUGGAUGUUGACCCGCUCCACUCCACAUGCACAUCUAAAAAAGAGGCAGUGUGAUAAAGUGGGACUGACUCUCACUCAAACUGUGAAUCAGAAGGAUGUGUGGUGCUCAUGGACUUUGUAUGUUCUUCAUUGUUUUUGUAGAUCCUUGAAAGAAAGGGUGCUAUUAUUGUUAAAGAAUUAUAAAUCUUUUUUCAAGUUUGUCUUUUUUCUUCUUCAGCAGGAACUACAAACAGCGUAACAUUUCAACAGAUCUCAUCACUUUUCACCAAUGAAUCAGACAGCAUAACAAUCGAGUGUAGCCAUUAUGACAGUACCUGUCAUAUUAUGGUAUGAGUAAAAGAGAGACAGUACAGCUAUGGUUCUGAUCGGCUCUGAUGAACCAACAUAUGAAAAUGGAUUUAGAGAGCGG